UCGUCUUGCUUUGUCUGAUGCUAUCAACAAACAUAUAAGAAGUUUCUCGAGAAACACGGGAAGGCUGUAUAGCAUACAUUAACACAUUAAAGAACGGAAAGAAAAUGAAUAUCUUUUGAGGCCUAUAAAAGAGCAAGAGGGUUGAAAGAGGGUAGUUUAGUAACACUCCAGCACUCAACAACUGCACAAGAUGAAAUUGGCGUUGAUCUUCCUCACUGCUUGCUUCGUUAGUCUGUCGUACCAACAGCGAUACGUAUGGCCAAUGCCCUACGCUCCAAGGGCUCACUUGAUGCCAUUGUUCUACGCUGACGGACAACCAGCAGCUGACGUUGAAAUUCUUACCUGAAAUCAAGGAAAUCGAUAACCAAGCCAAAAUCGAACCCGAAAUUCAGCAAGACAACGAGAAGGUCUUUUAGGCAACGCUGUGUUGAAUUUUAGACCCUUCACCCACGACCACCGUAAGA